AUCCGGGUUGCGGACAGUGUCUGGUGGGUAGUUUGACUGGGGCGGUCUCCUCCUAAAGAGUAACGGAGGAGCACGAAGGUUGGCUAAUCCUGGUCGGACAUCAGGAGGUUAGUGCAAUGGUAUAAGCCAGCUUGACUGCGAGCGUGACGGCGCGAGCAGGUGCGAAAGCAGGUCAUAGUGAUCCGGUGGUUCUGAAUGGAAGGGCCAUCGCUCAACGGAUAAAAGGUACUCCGGGGAUAACAGGCUGAUACCGCCCAAGAGUUCAUAUCGACGGCGGUGUUUGGCACCUCGAUGUCGGCUCAUCACAUCCUGGGGCUGAAGUAGGUCCCAAGGGUAUGGCUGUUCGCCAUUUAAAGUGGUACGCGAGCUGGGUUUAGAACGUCGUGAGACAGUUCGGUCCCUAUCUGCCGUGGGCGCUGGAGAACUGAGGGGGGCUGCUCCUAGUACGAGAGGACCGGAGUGGACGCAUCACUGGUGUUCGGGUUGUCAUGCCAAUGGCACUGCCCGGUAGCUAAAUGCGGAAGAGAUAAGUGCUGAAAGCAUCUAAGCACGAAACUUGCCCCGAGAUGAGUUCUCCCUGAGACUUAAAGUCUCCUGAAGGAACGUUGAAGACGACGACGUUGAUAGGCCGGGUGUGUAAGCGCAGCGAUGCGUUGAGCUAACCGGUACUAAUGAACCGUGAGGCUUAACCUUACAACGCCGAAG
rnacentral:rRNA from 1 species